AAACCGAGCCACCAGCCCACGACCCUUCCUCUCUCGAUCUCAUCUGGACCUCCAGCCCCGCCCCGCCCCGCCCCUCACCGCCGUCCGCGGCUGCGCGCCGCCACCCCCUACUCCGCCGGCGCGCCUACCCAUUACCCCAAGUGCCAACACACCCACGUCCAUCGACUACGGGCGACCCGCGGCCUUCCACCGCCGGCGACGCUCGACGUCGCGGCCAUUGGCGGCUCCCCGGCCCUGCUACCAUGGCGCCUCCGGGAGUCCUCCCCGCUCCUUCCACCUCGACAUUGGUUUUCCCAACCCCGCCGGCUUCGCCACCAGCCACUCCUUCAGGCGCACUCUAUCCGCCGUCGUCGGACCCAUCCGACUGGUUCCAAUGGCGAACAUCGACGCGAUUCACCCGCCCACCAUCAGAUGCGACAGCAAAUCCAUAGCCCCUGGCCAUCCCCUCCGCCGCCGGCGCCGGUGCCUCGAAGUUCAAGGGAAGACCCUCUACUCGCCCCCCAUCGCCGUCCGCGCCGCCGCCCUUUGCCGCCGCCACCACCGCCGUCCAAAUCGCCGCCCCCAUAGCCGUCCAAACUACUCUCCGCAACACCUCUCCAUCCCACAGCUGCCGAAGACAGGGAGGAGGACGAGGCUGGCUAGGCAGGGAGGCCGAAGGUGAAGUGCAGUGGGAGGCGCAUCGGUUUGUGCAGAGGGAGGUCUAUGGUCAGCUCAUUGGAAUCUCACAGGCCACCACGGGGAGAGCAAUCACGCAGGCACAUCAACCUCCCCCGCCAGGUUUCUUACUAUGUGCGUGGAUGUGGCAUUGGAAGGAUAGAUGGCAGUACUCGUGUGGAUGCAACAACUGACUGUUAGUUUGUUCAUUCAGAGACUACCACGAACCAGUUUGAUUUGUGCUAUAAUGCUCUUGCAAAUAAUUAUAGAUGUUGGUGAAAACUGCAGAUGUUGUGGUGUUCAGGAAGGACCGUAGAUACAGCAGCGGUCCAUCCGCAACCGCGGCCACGGGUGCCUAAUCUAAGGCGACCUCCUGUUUUGACAUCGUCCUUGGUAGCUGCAAGCGUGGAAACAACCUUGGCAGUGCAGCGGCAGCCACAAGGUUGUUCCUAGACCACUCCACCUCUGAACUGUACAACCUGCUGUGCUUUCUAGCUAUUCUAUUUAUAUGUAGCCAUACAUUGGUACAGUUAAUUCAUAAACAUGAUUCAAUAGGAUUUGAUAUUUUUUCAUGUCUCAAGUUUUUAGCUCUUCCCUCUUGGUGUGCAAAUCUUUUAGAGGGAAUUUGGUGUGCCAAUUAUUUUCCUGAUUACUGUAGUUAUAGUUUUUCUCACUGUUAGAGCAGAGUAAAAUUCAAACUAUGAUAUUAGUGGUGGUUAGCUGAUAACUUGAUCAUAACAGGGGGCACACUAAUCUUCUUUCUUUUCUUCUCUAACAAAGUCUUAAUAUUAUAAGAAUGUUGUUUUCUUCUUUCAUAAUCUGACAAAUAAAAUUUCCCCUAAUUUCAGUUUGGAUAAGUCAAGGUUGCUUUUGGAUCUUAGUAGAAGAUAGACGUUAUGGAUUUAGACAAAAAUAGAUGUGGAUUUAGGGGUUCCGUAUGAUACUCAUGUCUUCUCUAUUUGGGGUACAAGUUCAAGUGAUCUUUUAGGCUACUAUUGAAGGGAAAUAUGUAUGCCGUUUUGUUCAUUUCAUCUCCACCUACCCACCUCGCAUGUGCGUUCCCCUUCCCACCGGUUUUAUUGAUUUUUUAUAACAAUAAUGCCUUAGGUUAUAAACCUACAAUAUAUUAACAUUCACUAGAUACUCAUUUUUGUCUGUAGCUACACAAUCCAACUACUCAAAGGAACAUACAGUUCUAGAAGUGAGAACUGUUGAGCUAUUAUAGCGCAGCCUUGGGAUGAUGGAUGUUCAGGCCAGCUAUGCAGACCUUAAGGUAAAUGUUUUUCCAGCUAAUUAACAUGAAAUGUCUUGUAACUUGAACUAAUAAUGAACAACUGAGGAAUGCUGCCUGAAUGAAUCCAAAAUGUGUUGGAAACACCAACGUCCAGUUGGAGAGGGAGCUAUCUGGAUCUCCAUCCAACUAGGACAUGUCUGCUUACAACUUUUUGUUGAACAUGAUAUUACAUGAUUCUAUCAAAGACAACUCUCCUUUCUUCAGUGUACAUGCAUGAUAUUACAUGAUUAAACAUACCAUUUUUAACUUCAUUUAGUUGUCUAUAUUAUGCUCUAUGUGCUAUCACCAACAAAAAUAGUGUUACCUCCGUACCAGGCCUACCAAAUAUCUUAUAUUUUGGUACACAUGUAGUAUUUUUAGCCUGCAAAGCGACUCCUAUGCCCAGUGUGCCAAUAAUGUGUUUGCACCAGUGAAGAGAUAACUUAUUUUUUACAUUGUAAGAAAUACAUCCUGUUUCUUCCCCAUCAUUUAAGUGUGUGGCAUGCUAUCUUUGUUCAUGUUGCUGGCUGUACAUUUUCAGUAUUGUCAGGAUAUAUCUGAUUAUGAUGAUGUUCAGUACUACUCCCUCCGUUCCUAAAUAUUUGUUUUUCUAGACAUUUCAAAUGACUACCACAUACGGAUGUAUGUAGACAUAUUUUGGAGUGUAGAUUCACUCGUUUUGCUCCGUAUGUAGUCACUUGUUGAAAUCUCUAGAAAGACAAAUAUUUAGGAACGGAGGGAGUACUUUGGAGCCGCAACUUUUUGGACUGCUUGAUGUUUAUAACCAAUGAGACUACUUUUUUGGUUGUUGGCUGGAGCUAUCACUAUGACUGGAUUUGUUUUCACCCAAGUAGAUUUAUAUGGUCAUCAAAAACCAACGACAGGUCAACACUUGUCAGCAGUUUGCAAUUUGUAUUACAGUAUGCCUAAGCCAAUGGUCAGACAAUGUUGUUUUAGUUAGGAAAUGUAGAAAAUGUGGUCAUGAUUUAUGUAGAUUCGACAGUCCCUUCAAACUGCAGUCUUCAACCUUGAGUGGACCAUCUAACAUUAUGUUUCCUUGUAGAAAAUUGACUAUAUGUUCCAUGAAUUGACUGAUUAUUUUGGCCCGAUCAGAUUAAACUAGGUCUUGAUUUGAAGGUCCAGCUAAGGCAGCUGGUGCUGGUUUAUUUGUUGUAAUACUAACUGUGCUAUUUAGACAGAGACAUGUGGUCUUUCUCAUUCCUCGAAAUUUUCCUUUGCUACCAAGAUUUUCCAUUCUAGGUUGUGGAAAAAUACAUGUAGCAUUCCUUCUACAAGUCGUCAUGAGCUGGGACAUAGAAGAAGAGAGCCGACGAGAAGUCGCACAGCGGUUCGCUCCGGUGUGGCUGCCAAUGGCGUUGCGCAAAGUGCAGAUUACAGGCUAGAUGCGUACGAGUCCGUCCCUACUUCCACGACGUGGAAGCAAAGGAAAUCGAGUCAAUUAGAUAGUAUAUUUGGUUAUGUAAGUUGUCUUUUGUGUAUGCAGUUUUACCAUUAUUUUGUAAAAGCUUUGAGUUUUUGAUAAUGUAAUUGUCUUACUAAUCACACUUUUAAUCUAUUCGUGCCAAGGCUAACAGCCAAGUUAUGCACAAGCUGUUGAUGUUUCCUUGA